UGUUUUAAUUUUCCCUUAUAUAUACACUCUAGAAUUCAACACAAUCUGUUAUUCCUGCUGCUAUUCCCGCAAUAAUUGGUAAGGUUAAAUCACGAUGAUUCGCUUUCUUGUUUCCAGCAUUCUCGUUAUCGCGUUGAUCCUGAUGAUAGUUCCUGCGACGGAAGGCGACUGUCGAUAUUCAGAAACUGCUUGCCAAAAUGGAGAAACUUGUAAUUACGAUUCCAGUAAUGGUUAUUACUCCUGUUCGUACAUACAAACUGACUGGUCACUUUUUAGAUAAGUAGAUGUGUUACCAAUACGAAUAUCAAGAAGGGCUUUGUGAGAACGAGGCUGACCAUGGAUCACAGAACAAUAAUGCACUUAUAACUUUGUUUGAUAGGAAGCACUAAAUAUAUAACGAUAUUACACCUUCCAUCAUAAAGAAAUAGUAAUAGUAUAACGCUAUUUCACUUCAAUUUCAUUGGAUACUUAUAUUGCAUCUGAUUUCGUAGAAUAAUAAACAAUAAUAAUAGAACCUAUUUUAUUUUCACGGGAUAGUUAAUAAUAGCACAACGUCAUUGCAUCGGAUUUCGUAAACAAGCUGAACAAUAUUGUACUUUCAAAUUCGAUAUUAAACAAUGAUAGCAAAAAGGUAUUGUUCAAGGAAAUUAAAUGUGCAAUACCGUUUUCCUAUUAUAGUAUAAACAAUGAUAAUAAAACGGCUUUACAAUGAUAUAGCCUAAAUAA